rnacentral:lncRNA from 1 species
CUCAACUUGUGAGGGAUUCACCUAUAUUACCUCUGCACCUGUAAUAAGACUAAGAAGACGGUGGCUGCACAUGUAGUUAACACCGAUUGUACCGCGACUUCGCCUUUCCGCAGCCUUUGUACCAACCUGCAGAGCCCUUUUGAGCCAAGAGCUGGACUUGGGGAGUAAAGAAGCUCAUUGUAAACGCCAGGAGGAAUUUCUUCAGGGUGAAGUUGACUUCCAAUCGGCUUCAUUCUAAAGGAAACAUGUGGAGCAAACAAACGGGAACUUUCUUUCUCAUCUUCUGCAUUUCAAGCCUAAUAAAAUUAGACGUUUCCACUGUCCUGCUCAGUCUCGAAGCUGUCGGCAGAUUCCGCUUUUAACUCUCAACACAGACACUCAGGAAAUCGGGAAAUCCCUGCAGCUCCCUCAGAAGCUAUCAGUAUCAGCGGUUCCCGAACCCGCAAACAAAAAACGCAACAUCACGUGCUCCUCCAAAGAGCCUAGCCUGUCUAUCGAGCGAUGGAAAGAGCGGCGAGGCGCUCUCGCAGCCGUGGCAGUCUGGACGAAAAGAACCAGGUCCCUUUCCUGGUCUAGCCUACCUCCCUACCUCUCUUCCCUCAUAUCCAGAAGAAGCGACGGAGAGUCACUGUAAUAUUGCCUGGGAACUUCUGGUAACAGCAAACAGAGGCCCAUAAGAAAAAACCAGGGAAAGGUUUUCUGUCACAAUGGAAAAUACAUGCAGAGUAAAAG